UUUGAAUCUAGGAGCAGUUCCAUUAGCAACACCAAUGAUCCCCGCGCUCCUGGCCGGCCUCGCUCGCCGCGCGACGACCCCGCCGUCGGCAAGGCUGAACAAAGCACAACUCCUCGUCCGGGGCCUCCCUCUCCCAGCCUGCACCGCCGUCGCCCUCAUAGCCUCGCCCCAUUUUCCGCAUUCCGCACCACGCCCGCGCCGUCCCCGCCGCUUCUGAGAGCGUGUAAUUCUGGACCGCCGCCAUCGCUGAUUAUGCCAGCCAUGCCUCAUCUUCGGCGGCGGCGGCCGAGCAGGCGCUCACGCUGUUGUGGCUCAUGCUUCGGCGUGUCGUCCCUCGCCGAACGCCUUAAUGGUGAGCUCCGUGGUCAGGUGCUGCUCGGCGCUGCCGGCUGUUUGAGUCGGGAUCUAAGUGCACCGGUUCUUGGUGAAUUCUGGACUUAGAUGCGCUGCGCACGUGGGCGUCGGGUUGGUUUGACAUGUGCGACAACCUUGGCCUGGUAGCGGAUGCGAGGAGGGUGUUCGACGAAAUGGCUACCACAAGCGUGGUGCUGGGGAAUACCAUGGUGGCGUGCUACGUCAGGUCAGGGGAUAUGUAAGCUAGCUGCUCGGAUGUGUUUCACAUGAUGGCGAAAGGGACCCAAUCUCUUGGAACACACUGAUGAUGGGGUACUUGCGGCAUGGGGAAGCAUGUAUGGCAAGGGAGUCGUUUGAAGAGAUGCCGGAGAGGGAUGCCGAAUGCCAAUAGCUAGAGAAUGGUGAUUGUUGCAUGCUCGCAGCGUUCAAUCGGAUGCGCCUCGCAAGGUUCCAACCUGAUCCCGCGAUGAUGGAUGUGCUGAUGUCCGCGGUCCGCCUGUGCACAACUUUGUUCUUUGUCCGUUCCAAGACAGGUGCAUGGGAUUUUGAGCAAAAACUGUGUCAAAAUGAAUUUUCAUGUGCCGAAUUCAUUGAUCGACAUUCUUUACUAGUUUUCGAAAUAAAGUUGCAUUGCAGAAAAUAUUUUAUCAUUUGACUGAUCAGAUCAGCAGAGAGGCUUCUUGUUUUUCCACUAAAACAUUGCAUAGAGAUUGAUAGAGUGUCA
rnacentral:misc_RNA from 1 species